GUGGGGAAUAUUGGACAAUGGGGGGAACCCUGAUCCAGCCAUGCCGCGUGUGUGAAGAAGGCCUUUUGGUUGUAAAGCACUUUAAGCGAGGAGGAGGCUACCGAGAUUAAUACUCUUGGAUAGUGGACGUUACUCGCAGAAUAAGCACCGGCUAACUCUGUGCCAGCAGCCGCGGUAAUACAGAGGGUGCACGCGUUAAUCGGAUUUACUGGGCGUAAAGCGCGCGUAGGUGGCCAGUUAAGUCAAAUGUGAAAUCCCCGAGCUUAGCUUGGGAAUUGCAUUCGAUACUGGUUGGCUAGAGUAUGGGAGAGGAUGGUAGAAUUCCGGGUGUAGCGGUGAAAUGCGUAGAGAUCUGGAGGAAUACCGAUGGCGAAGGCAGCCAUCUGGCCUAAUACUGACCCUGAGGUGCGAAAGCAUGGGGAGCAAACAGGAUUAGAUACCCUAGUAGUCC
rnacentral:rRNA from 1 species